UUGACCUCGAAUAGGUAGGACUACCG
rnacentral:rRNA from 1 species